UCAGGUCACGACUCGAGUGGCCACCGAUUUGUAGACAAGUGAGAGGUUCUUGAACUCGAUCUGAUCUGUGAGAUAACAGA